rnacentral:rRNA from 1 species
UACGGAGGGGACUAGCGUUGUUCGGAAUUACUGGGCGUAAAGCGCACGUAGGCGGAUUUGUAAGUCAGGGGUGAAAUCCCGGGGCUCAACCCCGGAACUGCCUUUGAUACUGCGAAUCUCGAGUCAGGAAGAGGUGAGUGGAAUUCCUAGUGUAGAGGUGAAAUUCGUAGAUAUUAGGAAGAACACCAGUGGCGAAGGCGGCUCACUGGUCCGGUACUGACGCUGAGGUGCGAAAGCGUGGGGAGCAAACAGG